UACGUAGGGACCAAGCGUUGUUCGGACUUACUGGGCGUAAAGGGUGCGUAGGCGGGUCUUUAAGUCAGGGGUGAAAUCCUGGAGCUCAACUCCAGAACUGCCUUUGAUACUGAAGAUCUUGAGUUCGGGAGAGGUGAGUGGAACUGCGAGUGUAGAGGUGAAAUUCGUAGAUAUUCGCAAGAACACCAGUGGCGAAGGCGGCUCACUGGCCCGAUACUGACGCUGAGGCACGAAAGCGUGGGGAGCAAACAGG
rnacentral:rRNA from 1 species